GUACUACUCCCUCCGUUCCGAAUUAGUUGCCGCAGGUAUGGAUGUAUCUAGAUGUAUUUUAGUUCUAGAUACAUCCAUUUCUGCGACGUGUAAUUUGGAACGGAGGGAGUAGAUU
rfam:Triticum aestivum genome assembly, contig: Triticum_aestivum_CS42_TGACv1_scaffold_112316_2AS